GGGAAAAGCUCAAAUUUAAAAUCUGGCAGUCUUUGGCUGUCCGAGUUGUAAUCUAGAGAAGCAUUAUCCGCGCUGGACCGUGUACAAGUUCCCUGGAACGGGGCGUCAUAGAGGGUGAGAAUCCCGUAUAUGGCACGGACUACCGGAGCUCUGUGAUACACUCUCAAC
rnacentral:rRNA from 1 species